CUCCAGCCUUCAAAAUUUCACGACAUCUCUCUUCCAAUUUCUCUCCUGGACCCUACUCCAAAUCGCAUCUUCAAAAUUGUCCCUAAAAUCAGCCUCAUUACAAUAAGGUUUGGACAUUUUUCUCCUCUGGAUAAUGGAGGACAUAGGUGACACACAAGAUCCUCAUAUGAAGUACAAUAAUUGUACGGAAAUUGCACUAGUGGGUGAUGAACAAGAAAGACCACAAUAAGGUAAUUUUUUGUAUUAUUUUGUAGGAACAUGAUUUGUUUGCUUAUGGGCAUUUAAAAAAAAAACACACAAGGGUGAAGACUGAAAAAUGACGUUUAUCAGAUUGUAUGAUUUCAGGUAGAGGUUAAUGUUUACAAUCAGAUUUUUUGAAACCCAAUUAUACUUUUUUAUCAUCAGAUUUUAUGUUUUCAAGUAGGAAAUAUGAUUUUAUGUUUUCAAGUAGGAAAUAAUCUUUAUAAUCAUAAUGAAUGUGUAUGUAGCAAACAUUAACACUAAUUUUUUGCCAUCGUAGUCACAGUAGGAGAUAUGAAGAGAACUUUCAAUGUUUACUAAUAGAAUGGAUACCAGUACUUUGCCCAGGAGCCACCACAACAAAUAUGAUGAUCACUUGGCUUUGAUCGAUGAAGUAGGGGUUGAAAAAUGAAAAUGCUCUAUUUUUUAUUUUAUUUUUUUGUUCCGUGAUAAUGCAUUUCACAAAAUAAGAAUAGCUCGUUUGUUGUAGUUCGUUUUUGUAGUUGGUUGUAAUAGUUUAACUUGGCUUUAUGAACUUGGGCUAAAUAACUUCACUGUACCCUACAAGGAACCACAACUCUGCCUUGAUUUCGAAUUUGAAAGCUGCUCCACAGGGCCAAUGGAAGACAAUGUAAUUGUUGAAGAAGCAUUAUUGGAGGCAUCGGAUGAGGGACCACAAACGGAUAACUUUGUACCAAAUCAAUUGAUUCUACAAUUUUCUGCUAUUAUGGACAUAAAAUAUUUGCAUUUUGUAGUUACUGAACCAUUUUACUGUACUCUAGUUUAGAAAGUCCAAAAUUUAGGGCAACUCUUUUCCAUAUACAUUGUCCAACGGCAUGUGAGCAAAUUUAUGCACUUAUAUAUUCAUGUAUUUUAUAUAUAUUGGAAGAUUUAUUAGGAAACAUCUAAUCGUAUUUUUUUCCAAUGCAGCCAAUACUUCUGAGGAGAAGGAAUUGAUACUUCUUGAAUGCCAAUUGAUUGAUUUAGACGAUGAUGUGAAUGAUGAUAAUUUUCGGUAUGACAAGAAUGCAGCGGAACGUCUUAUGGUGAGGCGAAAUGCAGAUCCUACAAUCCAGUUUGAGACGACUGCAGGUGAAGGAGAGUUUCGAUCAGAUGAUGCUUCAACCACCGGCUGAUUCCCAAUUCAUGCCAACUCCUGGAAUUGAUUUAACGGUGGCUGCACAAUUGAACAACAAUUGUCCUCCACCUGUGCAGUUGCAAACUCAGCAAAAUUCACAAGCCACCUAGUGAUUUAGAUUCUAGUUUGACAGCUGUGAAGUCAUUUUGUCAUUGAAGAUAUUUAUAGUAUUAUAUUUCUUUUUGUGUAAAGUUGCUGGAAAUAUUUGAAGGUUGUAAGUUUAGAUUAAUGUGCCGUGGUUAAGGUGCUUUUGCUAUCAGACAUAAUCCUUUUGUGAAAGGCAUGAUCCUUUUUGCUAGCAGACAUGGUGUUGUAAGGCUUAUUACUGAUGUUUUAAUAAAUUUUCAAUUGAAUUUAUCAGUUUA
rnacentral:lncRNA from 1 species